GACGGGGCGGCUGGCCGGGCGGGGGGCUGACCCCCCCACCUCCCUCCCGGACGAGGUGGUUGCCGGGAGGAGACGCUCCUCACUUCCCAGACGGGGUGGCUGCUGGGCGGAGGGGCUCCUCACUUCUCAGACGGGGCGGUUGCCAGGCAGAGGGUCUCCUCACUUCUCAGACAGGGCGGCCGGGCAGAGACGCUCCUCACAUCCCGGACGGGGCAGCAGGGCAGAGGUGCUCCCCACAUCUCAGACGAUGGGCGGCGGGGCAGAGACGCUCCUCACUUCCAGGAUGUGAUGGCGGCCAGGAAGAGGCGCUCCUCACUUCCCAGGUAACGAGGAGACCAAAGGCCUAGUUAUUUAUGGAGAUCUGGGGCCACAGCAGAGCUCCUCAUGGCAGGAUAAGCCAGUGGAAAGCAGACUCAACAGCUAACCUCACAGUCCUCCUCAGCAAGCUGGGAGAAGCAACUGAUGCCACUUAAUGCUUAGACCGGGCCUUCUGGGAGAGAUCUGGCCCAAGGAGCAGCCGGCAGCUUGACACAGUGACCAAUUGGAAGCACAGCAGCCACAUGCCAUGAAACAAGAGUUUCGCUCUUGGCUGGAGUGCAAUGUCGCAAUCUUGGCUCACCACAACCUCUGCCUCCCGGGUUCAAGUGAUUCUCCUGCCUCAGCCUCCCACGUAGCUGGGAUUACAGGCAUGCACCACCAUACCAGACUAAUUUUGUAAUUUUAGUAGAAACGGGGUUUUUCCAUGUUGGUCAGGCUGGUCCUGAACUCCUGACCUCGGGUGAUCCUCCCACCUCAGCCUCCCUAUAUUAUUAAUCUUAAGUCUAAAUGUUUUAUUAGAAAAGUUACAAUCACAUAUGCAGCUUGCAUUACAUUGCUAAUGGACCACGCUGCUCUAAACCAGGGGUUGGCAAACUAUGGGCAGUGGACAACUUCCAGCCCACUGUCUGUUUCUGUACAGCUGGUAAACAAGGAAUGGUUUUCACAUUUUUAAAUGGCAGAAAAAAAAUAAUUUGUAAUACAUGAACAUUAAUAAAAUUCAAAUUUCAGUGUC